rnacentral:rRNA from 1 species
ACGCCGCGUGAGUGAAGAAGGUUUUCGGAUCGUAAAACUCUGUUGUAAGGGAAGAACACGUACGAGAGUAACUACUCGUACCUUGACGGUACCUUAUUAGAAAGCCACGGCUAACUACGUGCCAGCAGCCGCGGUAAUACGUAGGUGGCAAGCGUUGUCCGGAAUUAUUGGGCGUAAAGCGCGCGCAGGCGGUUCUUUAAGUCCGAUGUGAAAGCCCACGGCUCAACCGUGGAGGGUCAUUGGAAACUGGGGAACUUGAGUACA